GGAAAGAAUAAGAAAAAUAAUUUUCGUAAUUUUAGUAAUUUUUAAUGAAAAUAAAGUAAAAGACUAAAGAGAAAAGUACUGUGAAGGAAAGUUGUUAAAACUUUUUAUAGAAGAAGUAAAAUUUUGUGCCUCGUGUAUCAGAAAAAGUUUAUAUAGUUUAGUUACAAUAAGUAUCUCGAAAUAAAAUACAGUAAUUUUUAUAAAAUUUUCUUUUUAGAAAAAAAGAAUUUAAUAUAAAAUUUAAAGUGAAAUGCUAGCUGAGUUUUAUGAUAUCUAGUUUUUUUAAAAAUAAAUUUAAUUUAAUUUUUAUAAAGAAAAAGUUAUAAAAUUAAAUGGUAGGGGGGAUUAGCUCUUUACGGAAAAGAUAAUGAAAUAGUUAAAUAAAAGUAAAUUAUAUAUAAAUUAGGCUUAGAAGUAGCUAUAUUGAAAAAGUGUUUUAACUAAAUUAUAAUUGCUUGAAUAUUUAAAAUAAAACUUUUCUUAGGUAUAAAAAAAUGGCUUAAACAAAACAAAACAAGAUAUGAUGAUUUUAUUAGUAAAAUUUAUUGAGUAAAUAAAGAUAUUAAAAGGUAAAAAUUGUUUAAAAAAAAUAAGUA
rnacentral:rRNA from 1 species